ensembl:snoRNA
AAGCCAGCCAAUUAAUCUGCUUAUCUGAAUAUGUUUCUGCAAAAAUUAAGAAGCAACUGGCAAUAGUGAUACAAAUUUAAGAACCUUAAGGACCAUUCAGGUCAUUAUGGUCCCUUAGAAUGGCUACAAUA